rnacentral:rRNA from 1 species
UACGUAGGGACCAAGCGUUGUUCGGAUUUACUGGGCGUAAAGCGCGCGUAGGCGGACCUGCAAGUCGGGGGUGAAAGCCCGAGGCUCAACCUCGGAACUGCCUUCGAUACUGCGGGUCUCGAGUCCGGGAGAGGUGAGUGGAAUUCCUAGUGUAGAGGUGAAAUUCGUAGAUAUUAGGAAGAACACCAGUGGCGAAGGCGGCUCACUGGCCCGGUACUGACGCUGAGGCGCGAAAGCGUGGGGAGCAAACAGG